UACGAAGGUCCCAAGCGUUAUCCGGAUUCAUUGGGCGUAAAGGGUGCGUAGGCGGCGCGGUAAGUCGGGUGUGAAAUCUCGGAGCUUAACUCCGAAACUGCAUUCGAUACUGCCGUGCUUGAGGACUGGAGAGGAGACUGGAAUUUACGGUGUAGCGGUGAAAUGCGUAGAUAUCGUAAGGAAGACCAGUGGCGAAGGCGGGUCUCUGGACAGUUCCUGACGCUGAGGCACGAAGGCCAGGGGAGCAAACGGG
rnacentral:rRNA from 1 species